UCAGCCAUCAGCUCUUGGUCUUUGAUACCAUCAAAAUUUUAAUUGGCUCCAUUAAAAUAAAUAAAUAAAUUUGAGAGGAUUUGGGUUGGGUACUAUGCUAGCAGCAUGUAUAAAAAACGUAUUCAUUCUUUAAUCGACUGAUUAUGAUUAUUUAUGAGAAAUUUAGCAUUAUUACUAUUCAUAUUGUAUAAUGCAAUCAACCUAGGGUGGUGGUUGUUUUUUUUUGGUUACAUGUAUGAUGCAAUCAAGGAACCCCUGUUGAAGCUAAACUUAGCUUGUCAUUUCUUUUCUUUAUUCAAUUUCCCCUAUUUUCUUAAGAAUUUCUUCCAAUUCUCUAAGUUGUCCUCCAUCACAAAGUAAACCCAAGUUCCAUUGUCACGAGCGUCAAUUAAUUAGAAGGUUCACUAAGAUGCAUAAUAUUUUAUUAUUUUAACUAUACAUGCAUUCAUUCGUGCGUGCUUGAGUGAAUCAUUUACCAACUUUGCAAACAAACAUAAGCAUGAACCAAGCCUGUUGCUGCCGAUGCAAUUUUACUAAUCAUUUGUUUUUGAAUGAAUGAUAAAGGGACCCUUGAAGAGUUAUUAGAAGUCAUUUCUUGUGCCUAGCUUGGAGUCCAGGACAAACCUGUAAAACCAUUUCAUAUCUCGUCAUGAUCGGGAAAAAAGAAAGAAAGAUCCAAAUCCCAUUGAAAAUGAUGCACCAAGAAGAGAAAAUGGAGAGCAUUAUGAUCCUAUGAAGCAUUUCUUACCCAAUCCUCUAGCUUUGACCUUGAUUUCAGAUCAAACACCUUUGUUGUCUCAAGAUAUGACCACAAUUGACUUUUUCUGGUAUUUAAUGACCCUUCUAAAUAUUGCACUAAAAAAAAGCGUAAGACAUUUUGUACCCAAGAAACCAAUUGCAGGGAGUAUGACCAGAGCCUCGUGCCAUCGUUGAUGAAAACAAGUACAUUUAUUGGUCUCAUUCAAGAUUUCAUCGAAAUCUCUGUUUGAUUAUUUUAAGAAGGUUAAAAAUUAAUACUUUCUAUUUUGCUUUUAGAAUUUCUUUGGAAAAAAUUCAUUUCAAUUUAUGUUUAUUUGCUUUAAAAAUUUUGCCAAUAUCUAAAAAGAAUUUAUUAAUAUUUAAAAAUUAAAAUAUUUUUUGUUAAUUUUAUAUUUUCAAUAAAAAUGUACUUUUCAUAUUAUUUAAUAUUUGAAUGAAAAUUUUUCAAACACCAUAUUUAUUAAAAGUAAUUAUGAUUAAUGUUAUAUCAUAAUUAAAAGCGUAAAAAUGUUAAUAUAAAUUAGCUUGGCUCUUUUUAUUUAAGUUCAUAUAUUAAUAUGUAAUAAAUAUUAAUUAUAUUGUUUGAAUGAUAAAUUGUAUACCUAAAUACAUUUUAAAAUGGCCUUAUUCAUGGUUUUAACAUGGAUAUCAAUUUAAUUUUAUAUGGAUUAAUAUUAAAAAUGAUAUAAAUUAAAGUAUACUUUCACUUAGAGGUGUUAUGGGUUAGGUUGAACUUAAGUAAAAUAUUAAACCAUUUUAGGCCUGCUUAUAUCAAUUUUUAACAUAUUUGUUAUUUUUAAUUUAAUAUUUAAUAACCUUAAAUGCUUUUUUCAUUUCUUAAAAUUAUAUAUAGAUAAUUUAACAAUUUUUAUAGUAUGCUUUCAUUAUAAUAUUGUUAAUUACUAUAGAUUUAAAUUUUAUAAUUUAAAAAUUAUUUAAUAUAUAAAAAUAACAUAAAAUAAUAUAAUAUAUAUAGAGAGAGAAAAGUAUCAAGCCGAACUCAAGUCUAUGUUGAACUUAGAGUUCAAAUUUUUCUAACAAAAUUUAAUAUUUUUAUCUAAAUCGGGAUUCUAUAAACAGCUGCUGAAGACAGAUGAUACAUUAGAUGCCCCUAGGCAGCCUUAAUUUCUUUACCUACCUUAUUUUCUAAUAUCUUGAGUUAGAAAUGUUCUUUAUCAUAUGGUUUACGUGUAGGAAAAAGAAUAACAUACGCUGUCAUGCGUACAAACGUCUAGCCCCAUGAUCCUACAAAUUCUUUUUUAAUCUACAACCCAAAACCUUAAACUUUAAAAUCCUAAAAUCCCAAACCCUUAACCCCCUAACUAGAGGUGCUCAUGGGUUGGGCGGCCCGGCCCGGCCUGACGGCCCGCCCGAAAUAUGGGAGAGUUUGGGUAAAAAUACAGGCCCGAAAUAUGGGCUUGGACAAAAAAUGAGGCCCGAUUAAAAAACGAGCCGGGCCUCAAGCACCACUUUUUUGACCCGGGCUCAGCCUGGCCCGAAUAUAAUAAAUAUUUUUAUUUUUUUAAUUUUAAAAUACUUUUUUUAAAUUUUUUUAAUUUUAAAAUUUUUUUAAAAUACUUUUUUAAUUUUAAAAUAUUUUUAAAAUACUUUUUUUAAAUUUUUAAAAUAAUUUUUGGUAUUUAUUUAAAAAACGGGUCAAGCCGGGCCGGGCCUGGGCAAAAUUCUAGGCCCAUAUUUCAGGCCAGGCCGAGCCUAGGACCCGGGCCAAAAAAUUUUUCUGGGCCCAGCCCGACCCGGCCCAUGAGCACCUCUAUCCCCAACCCCUAAACCCUAACCCUUAAACUACAACUCAUGAAUCUUAACUCCCAAAACCCCAAACUCCUAAACCUAUAAAUCUUUAAACCCUAAAUCUUAAACACUAAACCCUGCUAAGCAAAAACAAGAAAAGAUUUUCUACACUUACACGAUUGAGAACGAUUUUCCACACUUUGGGAACCGAAGCUUUGACGCUCACCAAACCCUAAACUCGCUCUGAUUGAACCAUUCAUUCUUGGUUUGCAUUGCAAUAUGCAUAUACAGGAAGAGAAAAAUUAGAUACCUAUCUCACGAAAGUACACAAGAAACAAACAAAAAGAACAAACAGAAUGAGAUCCAUAGAUUUGAAACACGGAAAGAAACAGAAUGAAACUAGUGUCAUAUUAUUUGGAAAAGGAACGAUAAUGACAAAAAUAUAUAAACCGAAACCUAAGCGUAACUCAAGCCCAAAAUAACCUUACCCCAAAUGAUGAACUAAACCCUAAAACCCUAAAACCUUAAACCCUAAACCCUAAACUCUAUACCGGCCUAUUCUAAAAAGCGUCUAUUUUCUAUUAAAUUCACGUUCAUUGCAAUGUUUUUUUUUUCAUGAUUAUCAUAUGAAUAUUUUUUUUAAAAAUUAAUAGGUUACUUAAACAAAUUUAACAAAAAUUUUAGUAGUGUUACCAAUUGGAGUUGAAUUUUUAAAUUUAAAAAAUAGAGAAACUAAAUUCUUAAAAAUAAAAGGCUUAUAUGUAAAGAAAAUCAUUAAGAAAAUACAAAAAAUUAAUUAACCCUUAUAUUAAAUUCGCACUUAAUUAAACUUUACAUUAACGGUUUUCGUCACUAACUACAUUGAUAGUAAAAUAAAUCAAUGUACCAAUUAGAUGAUAUGUGGUGAUUUUUGGUUUAAUCUAAUACUUUUUUUAUAAAAAUAUUAGAAAAAUUAUAAAAAUAAAAAUAUUAAUAUUAAAAAUGAUAUAAACUUAAAAAAAUUAUAAAAACUUAUAAAUAUUAUAAAAAUCUAAUAAAUUAUAAAAUUAACAAAGAAAGCAACUAGAAUGAAACAUGUGGCAAAACAACAUACAAGAGCAAGUAAAUGUUAGCUAGCAGGUCUAUUAUUUAAUUCAGAAGCGUCCCCUUCUAAGUCGAGCCCAUGCUAUUGCCGCAACUGCAGCACCUCCCAAGUGUUGAAAUGUUUAAAAUUUUAACUAAUAUUUUUAUUAAAAAUAAAAAUUUCAUUUUUUUAAAAAUUGAACAAAAUUUAACUAAUGAAUCCCAAAACACUUCCCCGAGGCCCAUAAUGAUUUCAUUAACCAACCUUAAUAAAAACCACUGAACAUAUUAGCAAAAAGAAGCAUAUGUCAACUAAAAACAGAGAGGAAUAGCAUUCUGCUAAGCAAAAAUUACAAAAAUAUUAUACAGAUAUUUGGAAAAUGAACUAUAAUGACAAAAAUAUAAAUGAAAAGCCGAAAUCUAAGCGUGAUUUAGGCCCAAAAAAACCAAACCCCUAAAUUAUUCUACUAAGCAAAAACAAGAAAAGAAAAAUAUAUCAACUAAAAACAGAGAGGAAAAUUAUUCAGCGGAUAUUACAAAAAAUAUUCUGCUAGGCAAGAACAAGAAAAUAUUUUCUACACUUAGAGGAUUGACGACAAUUUUCCACACUUUAGGAGCCAAAGCGACGGCGCAUUUGACGCUCACUAAACCCGAAACUCGCUACAGGAAGAGAAAAAUUAGGUAUCUAUCUCACGAAAGAACACAGGAAACAAACAAAAAGAACAAACAGAAUGAGAUCCAUAUAUUUCAAACACGGAAAGAAACAAAAUGGAACUAAUGUCAUGUUAUUUGGAAAAGAAACUAUAAUGACAAAAAUAUAAAUGAUAAGCCGAAAUCUAAGCGUGACUCAGGCCCAAAAAAACCUUACCCCAAAAUUAUUCUGCUAAGCAAAAACAAGAAAAGGUUUUCUACACUUACACGAUUGAGGCGAUUUUCUACACUUAGGGAGCCGAUGCGACGGCGCGUUUAACGCUCACCAAACCCGAAACUCGAUCUGAUUUGAACCGUUCGCUCUUGGUUUACAUCGCAGUAUGCAUAUACAGGAAGAGAUCAAUAAAACAACCAGAAUGAAAUCAAUAGAUUUGAAACACAUAAAGAAACAGUGAUGUCUAAACCUGAAAACUAAUAAUCAUAAAGUAAACCAACUGAAAUAGAAGUAAAAAAAACAUAGUUCUAAAACUAAAAAUAGAAAUGAAAAGGCAAAAGACAAAGAGAAAUACAAAAAUGAAAACGUAAACACAAGUAAAGAUUCAUACCUGAAAUCAGUCACCGACAAAGCAACCAAAAAGAAACAGACACCCACAACAAUAGAUUUCAAACACAAAGCGAAAACAGGGGAUUUCAAUAUCACCAAAAAAGAAAGAAAGAAACGGCAGACAAAUCUUUGGGUUUCACCCUCUCACGAAAAAGAACGAGGGGAAAUAUUGAAAUAAGACAGAGAGAGAGAGAGAGAGAGAGAUAAUGGGAAGGAAGCGGGAUAUGAAAAGUCUGAAGAAAACGGGUAGCUUUCUCCUAACCGUCACUGCCCAAAAAGAAUAAACUUUCUAAUUCCCCAUGUGACAACGGUAACAUUUAUGGUAAUUAAUACCUUAAUUAAAUUACUAAUUUUAUGGGGGGGGAAUUAAAGACAUAGAAGGUAAAGAGACGUUAGGGAAAAGGAGGGGGCAAUGGGAGAUAAUAAAUGAGAAAUAAAUAUGAAAAAUGCUUUCAUUCCCAAUUAACAGACAGAGAAGUAAAAGAAACGUUAGAAAAAAAAAAGAGAAAGGAAAGAAGAGACUUUACUUGGUCAGGCCAAAGACUACAAACCUGAACCAACAACGCCCCAAACCCACACAGUUUAACACACCACACUCCAAAACAGAUAAUGGCAAAGAUUCAAAUGAUCGACCCGUAAUUCCAAACUAAAAGUUGUGUAAAAACGAUAAUGGCAAAGAUUCAAAUGAGAAGAAUCUGUAGGAGAAGAGAAAUAAGGAGUCAAACUGUGAAACAAAGGCACAAAUUCUUACCCGAGAGUCGAUCUGAGCCAAAACCCAACAAACGAAGCGGUGGAGUUUUAUUGCCGGAGAUAUAUCAGGAGGAGAGAGAUUGAAAUAGAGGUUAUUCAUAAAUCCUACAACAAAGGAUUUUGAAGCCCAUUUUCAAUUAAAAAGAAACCUCAUCCCCAAUUCUUUUUUAAUAAUUUACAAGGCUAAUAUAUUAUAGGUAUAUAUUUUGGUCCCUGAAAUUACUAUUCCAUUUAGUCCGAAACCCAGUAAUCCAAAA
rnacentral:lncRNA from 1 species